rnacentral:rRNA from 1 species
AGCAGUCCCACGGUAAUACGUAGGGUGCAAGCGUUAAUCGGAAUUACUGGGCGUAAAGCGUGCGCAGGCGGUUAUAUAAGACAGAUGUGAAAUCCCCGGGCUCAACCUGGGAACUGCAUUUGUGACUGUAUAGCUAGAGUACGGCAGAGGGGGAUGGAAUUCCGCGUGUAGCAGUGAAAUGCGUAGAUAUGCGGAGGAACACCGAUGGCGAAGGCAAUCCCCUGGGCCUGUACUGACGCUCAUGCACGAAAGCGUGGGGAGCAAACAGGAUUAGAUACCCCAGUAGUCCCUGUCUCUUAUACC